CAUGCAAGUCGAACGGUAACAUUUCUAGCUUGCUAGAAGAUGACGAGUGGCGGACGGGUGAGUAAUGCUUGGGAACUUGCCUUUGCGAGGGGGAUAACAGUUGGAAACGACUGCUAAUACCGCAUAAUGUCUUCGGACCAAACGGGGCUUCGGCUCCGGCGCAAAGAGAGGCCCAAGUGAGAUUAGCUAGUUGGUAAGGUAACGGCUUACCAAGGCGACGAUCUCUAGCUGUUCUGAGAGGAAGAUCAGCCACACUGGGACUGAGACACGGCCCAGACUCCUACGGGAGGCAGCAGUGGGGAAUAUUGCACAAUGGGGGAAACCCUGAUGCAGCCAUGCCGCGUGUGUGAAGAAGGCCUUCGGGUUGUAAAGCACUUUCAGUUGUGAGGAAAAGUUAGUAGUUAAUACCUGCUAGCCGUGACGUUAACAACAGAAGAAGCACCGGCUAACUCCGUGCCAGCAGCCGCGGUAAUACGGAGGGUGCGAGCGUUAAUCGGAAUUACUGGGCGUAAAGCGCACGCAGGCGGUUUGUUAAGCUAGAUGUGAAAGCCCCGGGCUCAACCUGGGAUGGUCAUUUAGAACUGGCAGACUAGAGUCUUGGAGAGGGGAGUGGAAUUCCAGGUGUAGCGGUGAAAUGCGUAGAUAUCUGGAGGAACAUCAGUGGCGAAGGCGACUCCCUGGCCAAAGACUGACGCUCAUGUGCGAAAGUGUGGGUAGCGAACAGGAUUAGAUACCCUGGUAGUCCACACCGUAAACGCUGUCUACUAGCUGUGUGUGUCUUUAAGACGUGCGUAGCGAAGCUAACGCGCUAAGUAGACCGCCUGGGGAGUACGGCCGCAAGGUUAAAACUCAAAUGAAUUGACGGGGGCCCGCACAAGCGGUGGAGCAUGUGGUUUAAUUCGAUGCAACGCGAAGAACCUUACCUACACUUGACAUGCAGAGAACUUUCUAGAGAUAGAUUGGUGCCUUCGGGAACUCUGACCCAGGUGCUGCAUGGCUGUCGUCAGCUCGGGGUCUGAGAUGUUGGGUUAAGUCCCGCAACGAGCGCAACCCUUGGCCUUAUUUGCCAGCCUUAA
rnacentral:rRNA from 1 species